AUUGAACGCUGGCGGCAGGCCUAACACAUGCAAGUCGAACGGUAACAGGAAACAGCUUGCUGUUUCGCUGACGAGUGGCGGACGGGUGAGUAAUGUCUGGGAAACUGCCUGAUGGAGGGGGAUAACUACUGGAAACGGUAGCUAAUACCGCAUAACGUCGCAAGACCAGAGAGGGGGACCUUCGGGCCUCUUGCCAUCGGAUGUGCCCAGAUGGGAUUAGCUAGUAGGUGGGGUAACGGCUCACCUAGGCGACGAUCCCUAGCUGGUCUGAGAGGAUGACCAGCCACACUGGAACUGAGACACGGUCCAGACUCCUACGGGAGGCAGCAGUGGGGAAUAUUGCACAAUGGGCGCAAGCCUGAUGCAGCCAUGCCGCGUGUAUGAAGAAGGCCUUCGGGUUGUAAAGUACUUUCAGCGGGGAGGAAGGGAGUAAAGUUAAUACCUUUGCUCAUUGACGUUACCCGCAGAAGAAGCACCGGCUAACUCCGUG
rnacentral:rRNA from 1 species